GGCUGUGGCCUGGACUCGGCAUUCAAACACGACACACUGACCUCUGGUUGUAGAGAUGUCUUGAAGAUGCUGAAGAAUAAACACAGAAUUCACAGAAUGGAAGAAACUGUUUCACCAUAUACAAUGAUUUGGGGUGCCAAUUACAAACAGAAGAAGAACACCAUGGGGCAAAGGCCCAGAGACUGCAGUGACCGUAUGUUGUGGACAAAUAAAUGUCUAUUUUAAUUGGAAUGGAAGGGCCACCUUGGGAAGAUCAAGGGGAGUACGUGUUUGAGAUGGGUACUGUGUCAAGAAGGUAAG